UAUUAUAGCUCAUUUCAGUUCUUCAGUUUAGUUGAUUUGAGAUACUCGCGUUUGAAUCACACGAAAAUUCAUUUCUUUUCCAUUGGCUUGUUUACUAAAUACAUUUUUUUUGUGUGGGCAUAGCCUAUGAAAGGUGAAAUAUCCGUGACAAUGGUUUCCAAAUCCAUCAUACAAAA